rnacentral:rRNA from 1 species
GACGUAGGUGGCGAGCGUUGUUCGGAAUCACUGGGCAUAAAGCGCACGUAGGCGCCAUGUCAGUCGGGUGUGAAAGCCCUCGGCUCAACCGAGGAACUGCGUCCGAUACUGCAUGGCUUGAGGUCCGGAGGGGAGAGUGGAAUUCCCGGUGGAGCGGUGAAAUGCGUAGAGAUCGGGAGGAACACCAGCGGCGAAGGCGGCAAACUGGAUAGGCACUGACACUCAAACAACGAAAGCGUGGGGAGCAAACAGG